UGCUCCUUUGACGUUAGCGGCGGACGGGUGAGUAACACGUGGGCAACCUACCCUAUAGUUUGGGAUAACUCCGGGAAACCGGGGCUAAUACCGAAUAAUCUCUUUUGCUUCAUGGCGAGAGACUGAAAGACGGCAUCUCGCUGUCGCUAUAGGAUGGGCCCGCGGCGCAUUAGCUAGUUGGUGAGGUAACGGCUCACCAAGGCGACAAUGCGUAGCCAACCUGAGAGGGUGAUCGGCCACACUGGGACUGAGACACGGCCCAAACUCCUACGGGAGGCAGCAGUAGGGAAUCUUCCACAAUGGGCGAAAGCCUGAUGGAGCAACGCCGCGUGAGUGAAGAAGGUUUUCGGAUCGUAAAACUCUGUUGUAAGGGAAAAACAAGUACAGUAGUAACUGGCUGUACCUUGACGGUACCUUAUUAAAAAGCCACGGCUAACUACGUGCCAGCAGCCGCGGUAAUACGUAGGUGGCAAGCGUUGUCCGGAAUUAUUGGGCGUAAAGCGCGCGCAGGCGGUCCUUUAAGUCUGAUGUGAAAGCCCACGGCUCAACCGUGGAGGGUCAUUGGAAACUGGGGGACUUGAGUGCAGAAAAGGAAAGUGGAAUUCCAGUGUAGCGGUGAAAUGCGUAAAGAUUUGGAGGAACACCAGUGGCGAAGGCGACUUUCUGGUCUGUACUGACGCUGAGGCGCGAAACGUGGGGAGCAACAGGAUUAAUACCCUGGUAGUCCCGCCGUAACGAUGAGUGCUAAUGUUAGGGGUUUCCGCCCUUAAUGCUGCAGCUAAGCAUAAGCACUCCGCCGGGGAGUACGGUCGCAGACUGAACUCAAGGAAUUGACGGGGCCCGCACAGCGGGGAGAUGUGGUUAAUUCGAAGCACGCGAAAACCUUACAGGUCUGACUUCC
rnacentral:rRNA from 1 species